UACGGAGGAUGCGAGCGUUAUCCGGAUUUAUUGGGUUUAAAGGGUGCGCAGGCGGUCUGUUAAGUCAGCGGUCAAAGCCCGGGGCUCAACCCCGGGACUGCAUUUGGAACUGUAUGGCUGGAGUGUCGGAGAGGCAGGCGGAAUUCCUAGUGUAGCGGUGAAAUGCUUAGAGAUCAUACAGAACUCCGAUUGCGAAGGCAGCAUGCCGGCUCCACACUGACGCUGAGGCACGAAAGCGUGGGUAUCGAACAGG
rnacentral:rRNA from 1 species